UACGGGGGGAGCAAGCGUUGUUCGGAUUUACUGGGCGUAAAGGGCGCGUAGGCGGCCACCGCAAGUCAGUUGUGAAAUCUCUGGGCUUAACCCAGAAAGGUCAACUGAUACUGCGGGGCUAGAGUGCAGAAGGGGCAACUGGAAUUCUCGGUGUAGCGGUGAAAUGCGUAGAUAUCGGGAGGAACACCAAUGGCGAAGGCAGCUCGCUGGGACGGUACUGACGCUGAGGCGCGAAAGCGUGGGGAGCAAACAGGG
rnacentral:rRNA from 1 species